GCUGCAGGGGUGAGUACCUGGCUGCAGCACCUAUCUCCCACCCCCCCAAUCCCAGGAGAGACUUUCCUUUCUGAAAGGAAAUAGGAAGAGUGAAGUCACACAGAUCCUUCAGAACUUGUUUGACAGCCCAUUUGCGCAGUUGAAGAUUUCUGAAAUUAAUGGAGGGAUAUCUUUGUGGGAAUGGCAUUUUCCAUGGUAUUAAACCAACUCCCCACCUCUUAGUCUUCAGGAUGCUUCCUCCUGAUUGUGGAAUGACUCCCAUCCAAAAUGUGGUCGCAGCCAUGAGAGGUUCUUAUUUAAUCUUGAUUGAUCUUUUCUGUUAUUUUGAGAGACGUAUCAAAAGAUGUUUUUAAAGGAACAAAUCUAAAAAAAGAAAUUGUGUAAUGUGUUCAGAGUUAAAUUUUAGUUUUCUUUAACCCGUAUUUAUUGUAGCUCCAAGAAAUAGGAUACGUCAUGAAGUUUGUGGAAGAAUACAGUUAAACAAUAAGUUUAUUUUGGUGCAAAAAAAAAUUUGAAAUCCAUCCAUACUCACAGUAUUAACAUUGAUAAUGUGUGUUCUCAGAGCUGUGAAAGAAAAAGCAGUAAAAGGUUCUUCCUGUAGCUUGAAAGACAGUUUGCCACAUAAAACUAGUUCUGGAUGAAAAAAAAAAAUCAGUAAAUUUCAGUUCUGCAGUAGUAGAUCAGAUGUGUCUGACACCUUCAGUUGCUACUUGGGAGUAGAAUUUUUUGUCUUAAAAUUCGAGGAUACUCUGUAGGCUUAGGACAGGGACUGGGAUGUUGCGGUUUAUUAACGCUUCACCUCAGCAUUUUGGAGUUGAAAGUUAAACUUGGGGGAGACUCAGUUCGAAUGUAGAAUCUUCUUUCCUCCAUGGUGAUCACAACUGUUGUGUGAAUGUUGAGAUGUGGCGUUGGGAGUAAACUACUGGGUGCAAAUCACAUGAAACUACUGCUGGGAGUGUAGGAUUUAAAAGCGUGAACUGAAGACAAUUAUUAUUUAUUUUGGAGUCCAUGGGAAAACUUAACUGCCUUGCAUUGUUACUUUGAUGUCCGUUGAAUAUUUGCAUGUUGUACAUGUGUAACAUCAAUUCCUGUAGGGUUUGUGAACAUAGCUAGUACUGUGAGAGCUAACUAGUACUGAGAGAGUUAACCCGAUGGUUACACUAAAACCCCACGAAUACUCCAGAAAGUGACCUGGAGGCUGUCCACCAGGACUAGCUGUUCCUGUUCCAGGCAGUGUUGGCUAGUGUUGGCUAGCAUAGGCCGAGCUUAACUCCCCUGCACAGUGCACCUUACUCUUUGUGUGAGGGUGCUGGAAAGUAGAUGGGAAAAGUAGACUGUCCAGGUUGCUUUAAAUUUCUGGUUGGUCAUAAUGGGUAAGUGGUCAUCUUUUUCCUGGUGAGUUAAGUUAGCAAGGGUUUUGAAAGGCGAGGUUAUUUCUGUUUGUUGUGAUAAUUGCAAGACCAGUGGACCGGGCCAGUCUGGGUAGUCUCAGCAAAAGGGUGGGAAUUACAUUUGUUAUUUUUUGUUGUUCAUGUUUUAAAAGACAGACUUCAGUUGGUGUCAAUUCUUUAGCAACAACAGAAUUGCUAUUGUGUUUUACUGGAAGAAAUUUGAUUAUCAUAUGCCCUGGGCUGCAGGCAACUUUGCAGCAGUAAUGAGCCCACAGUGCUUUUUCCAUCACAGUUCAGCUGGACCAGUGGGUGACGUGGCCAUCUCCUCGUCUCUGUUGGUUUUGCUUCAAGGGCAUAAUGUCAAGCAAGUGAAUCACUUUGUUGUUGGUGUUCUAUUGUGGGCAUUACGGAGUAUAGUUUGAAUGAUCAAUAUAGCUUUAUUUUAAUUGUUUUUAAUCUGUCAUAUUAAAAUACUGAUGAAAUAAUUGUGAAGGCAAGAAAGUAGAUGAAAAUGUACAUGUGUCUCUGUCCACAUUAGUUAGAGUUGAUGCCACAAACAGACUCUUCCCCCAAACAUAAUAUGGUUAUUUUUCUUUGGUGAAUUGAUACUUCCUGAGUCUCGUUUUAUUUUCCCCUCCAAGUUUGAGGAAAAGAAAAAAAACCCAAAGUUACUUUAUGGAUGUACAAAAUUGUAGUAAAUGAGUUAUUCUAUUAAAAAUAUUCUCAUUUGUGCAGGAUUAAAAUGAAUGUUUUCUGUAAAAUUGCAAAAUCCUAAAUCCUGUAUGAAGAACCCGUGGAGUUUUGUCAUAGCAGGUUAUUAGUUAACAAUAACAGUGAAGCGUGCUAGCAUUUGAGUACUUUGUUUCUGUUUGGCACUUUCCUUGCAUUAUCUGGUUUAGUCCUUCAAAAAUCCUGGAGUCUGCAGCUACUAUUUUAAUGUUGGAAGUUUGACAGUUUAUCGUGCAAAAGCAAGAGGUAGAGAACGUGGCUUGAUCCAUGCCAUGUACAGCACGUGCAUAGGGGCCUGUGUUGGGCACAGUGCUUAAGCCGGGACUUUGGAUGCUGGUAUCCCUUAUCCCUUAUGCAAAUGAGCGCCGGUUCCCAGGUGAGCGCCAGUUCAGGUUCCUGCUGCUUUGCUUCUCAUCCAGCUCCCCGCUGAGGAGCUGGGAAGACAGCGGAAGAUGGUACCAAGUACUUGGGUUCCUGCCACCCAUGUGGGAGACCCGGAUGGAGUUCCUGUCAUCUCCUGGCUGUUGCCUGCAUUUGGGGAGUGCACCAGUGCAUGGAAGAUCUCUGUUUCCCUGUCUCCCCCUCUCUCUGUGACUUUGCCUUGGAAACAAACAUUUGCAAAGGAUAUGCACGCACACAGCAAAUACCAGUAUCUGAGAGUGGUCCGCAGGCUUGAUUGAGUGCAUCAGGAAUGGCAGGGUUCAGGGUCUGCCGCUCUGCCCUGAGUGACGGGACGGGACUGCCUCGGGUUCCCCGCAUCGCUUCCUCACGCGGAAGAGGAAGGACAGGAUUUUUCUUUCCUGUCUCAUCAGCCAGGGAGGAAAACCUUUUCUUGAAGUUGCAUAGGAGAUAUCUUCUUAUAUGCCAUUAGAAGUGUAAAAUUCCUUUCCCUAAACCACUUACGGACAAAGGUAAUGGGAUUACCAUCAUUGGCUUAAGUCAGUCACUGUUCAUCGCCUGGGCUGGAACCACCGCUCCCUGUGCCUGGGCGCCCCGGCAGAACCGGGAGUCUUUGGCAAGGAAGAUGUGUCUGGAGGAUAAGCGGAGAAUAACACGGGUCCCUGCUCAUGGUGCUUCCAGUCUGAAGGAGAGGUCUUUAAGGAUAGUUUCCCAAGGGCACUGGGCAACUGCGGACUCUCUGUAAUGCUGUCCAAGCCGCAGAACACGCACGGUGUCCAGUGUGCAGGUGGGGUGUCGAAUGUUCCAGUGACAGAAUGCAGCGCUGUGGAGAAGGACCGAGGGGCGGUGUUGCUCCCGGCAAUGGGGAAGGCGCCAUCAGGCAGACUCCUGAGUCAUGCUGAAAGAAAAGAGUCGGGGCGAGACUUGGGCGAGUGCGUUUCAGGCAGGACCAAACCACCCUUGGGGAGACCCCAGCAUCAGUGUAAUUGCUCAAGCAUGUGCAGAAAUGAAGGCGCUGAGCUUGUCUGUGACUGCUGAACUGGGUGGCGGGUGCAGCGUAUUUGACCUCCUAGAACUAGGGUUGUCUUGCACCUCCCUCGGUCCUCUCCCCUGGGGCAGGAGGGGAUGUGGCUGUUGCUAAGGAGGACAGUGAUAGACAUGGCCCAGCUGUGGAUGUGUUGGUCUGCACAGGACAGCGCUGCACCUGCGUGAGCAUUUCUUCGGAGUAGCUCCGAGUGGGACGGGUGCGCUCGCAGCGACCUUCAUUUUUGCUUUUCAUGUCAUAAGGCCUUGGCGAAUUGUGGGGCGUUUUGUGCCUCAGAUUGGAAGCUCCUAGAGGACAAGGACCGAGGUGUGGUGUGUGCUUCCCGUGUGUGCCUUGUUGGCGCAGUGUGAUGGUGUGUUUGUGCAGUGAAUGAAGGAAGGCUGUAACCAGUUGUGUGUGCCUUGUUGGCACAGUGUGAUGGUGUGUUUGUGCGGUGAAUGAAGGAAGGCUGUAACCAGUUGUGUGUGCCUUGUUGGCGCAGUGUGAUGGUGUGUUUGUGCAGUGAAUGAAGGAAGGCUGUAACCAGUUGUGAAUACGUUGCAACCGUGCGUCAUCAGCUCAUUUCCUCCCCGCUAUUUCUAGUAUUUGGUACCAGGAUUAAUGUGUAAUUUCUAACUAUUUUUCUAUUAUGUAGGCACUUAGUAGUGUUUCUGUGGAUCUCAGGACUAUAAGAGAUUAUCUAUGUACAUACCUAGGUAGCAUGUAUAUUUUUAAAUAAACAUGUUAAAUUUAUUUGUACUUUUUUUUCAAAGGCUUAGAGACAGAUUUUCUAUCCUGAGUCACCCCUCAAAUUCCAGCAGUAGCCAGGGCUUAGCCAGGCCAAGUCCAGGAGCCCAAGUCCAGACUCAGUCUGGGUCUCCCAUGUGGGUGACAGGGGUGCAACCACUGGAGCCAUCACCUGCUACGUCCCAGGGCACACACGAGCAGGAAGCUGGAACCAGACACAGAACCAGGACACAAACUCAAGCGCUCUGAUGUGGGAUGUAGGCAUACCAAGUGAUACCUGCUGUACUGAAUGCCUGCCCUGUUGUUAAAAAACAGUCUCCCUUUGUGUGUUGAGUUUUGUAACAGAAAUGAAAUGACAUUUUGCAGUCUGUCUACGUUUCCCAGUAACUCAGUGAGGUGGGCAGCAGCUGCAUGGAUGAGGAGAUUUGCAGUUGGAGGUUGACUCACCUGGCCCGGCGAUGCAGGUGCUGUGUGGUGUGACUGAGCCAUAUUUAGGUUCUUUGGGUUCCAGCAUCAGUGUUCUUUUCAUGACCUGCAGCUGCCUUUUUUAUGAUACAAGAGUCAUAUAUAAGAAACCUCAAGUACGGAUUUGACUCAACAGAGAACUAUAGCUCAGAUGAUGGUUACAGGUUUCUGUCAAUACUUUGACUAAAUGAAAAAUACACAUGGCGUGGUAGGCACAAUUCUGAACAAUUCCUUAACCCAAGUAUCGUGUCAGGAGUAAAAUGUGAUUUUUUUUUUUUUUUUUUUUGGAAAUCUUAGGUUUUCUUGUUUAAGUGGGCCAAUGUGGGCUUUAGGGUAGUUCUGGGUUUUUCAUUUGUGCAGGCUUUGUGUAGUGUUUGGCGGUGCGCUCUUCUCUGUUGCUUUGCCAGUUAGCUUCAGUGUGAGAGCUGGGGUGGGGUAGAGAAACACGCAGGGUUUUUUCCUUCCAGGCCUCUCUCUAAUUAGGGAGGGAAGGUCUUUGACAUGAUGGAGUGGUCUCUUCCUUUCUGUUGUGGUAGAAUUCCCAUGGCCUUAGCCUUUGACCCCUUUUUGGGGGUAGUUCAGUGGCAGUCAGUGCGGUCAUGCUGUUUGGGAGAGUCCAUCCCUCCCCAGGGCUUUUCUCCUGUCCCAGCCCGACACUACGCCUACCCUAGCACCUGAAUGACUGGCCUGGUGUCCCGCCUGUGUGGAAUACUACAGUGUGUGGGCUUUGGUGUCUCUGCCUGCUUUUUUUGCUUAAUUCCUACAGCAGCUUCACAGAGUGCGUAUAAUCCCCAUUUUACGUAUGGAGAAACUGAGUCUCAGGUUGUAUAUUUUGUCCAAGAUCACUCAGUAAAUGGCGUAAUCCGGAUUCCAAUCUGAGUUUCUGCCUCCACUGCCCAUUUUAACCGUUUUGACUCAGUGUGCUUAAUUGUUCGACUAUGGGGGUGGGAGGCAGGGGCGUGGAUUUUCAUGGUGGGAGGGGCCUGCUUGGGCUGUUUUCUCAUAUCCACCGUUUUUAGUUGGGGUGGGAGGUCACAGAGAGUGAGAGAGAGGUUAGGGAGAGAGAAGAGGCAUUUUACAACUGCUCAGAGGUGGACAAGAUUGUAGGUACCCAACAAGCCCCACAAAUAGCUCCCCGUUCUUCAUCUUGUGACUGAGAUGUGACAAUUUGAAUGUACAUCCUUGGCAGGGAGGGAAAGGCCAAGUAGGAGCUCAGGCUGUAAUUUUAGAUCAAGCUGUUUUCCUAAACUUUGGAGUCAGAAAGAAAUAGAAGAGGAAGAUGUAACAUCAGCCAGACACGUUUCUCCUGUGACGAUGAGUCUGCCCUACUCCUGUCUUCCAGCCAGCAUGUGGCCCGUCGAUUUUUGUUUUGGAUGAAGCUGUCGGGCGAGUUCCCCUCCAUCCAAGGGCAGUCGUACCACCCUGUUGGGGCUGUUCCCUGGUUGUGUCUGCGUGCUGACCGUCAGAGAAGAUGGAAGCGUUUCUCUGUGGUGGCUUUCACGGCAUCGUAUGCCGGCUGUCACCUGUAACUGGAGGAGAGUCAGGCUACCCUCGUGUUCUGUCGGUGCGCUUUAGCAGUGGCUGCUCUGGGGUUUGCCUCAGCAUUUGGCCUGAACUAAGAGACUGAGGCUGGUAUUCCUUCCUCUAGAAGUACUGUGAUGGAAGUACUUCAGCGGGAUUUCCUUCCCGAAGGGUGUGCAUACACUGGGAGUAGUUUCCCAUGGGAGUUCAUCUGGCGUGGGGUGGGGUGGGGGGACUCACUAGUUGAUUCUGAUUUAGAAUUGAGAUUGAACCAAGUCGUCAUGUGAGUGAGGUGGACUUAAGAAUUCAGGGCCAGAAAGAUUGGGGGAGAGGCAGGUGUGUCCGGAAACACGAAGUCUGUCCCUGCCUUGCUAUAGGAUGAGUGCCUCGUGGAUGAGGGAACUCAGAACACACGUAUAGCAAGUGCCUGCAGAACCGCUUCUGUGUUUGUAUUGGUCAGGUGGCCUCAGGACGCCCCCGGUACGAGGAUAAUUGAGAGGAGUUUAAGGAAGCUAUGUGCAGGGUCAGGGUGGAGGGAGGCUCCAGCGUUAGCAGCACAGGAGACUGGAUCACCCCUGGGUCUGCAGGGGGAGGGAAAGAGCAGUUGCCAGGUUCUGUGGAGAGCUGCACCAGCGGCUGGACGCUCAGCAGGGAGCAGCCUUCUUCCCUCUGCUCCGAUGGUGCCCAUCUCCUGCAGAGCCGUGCAGGAGCCACGGGGCAAGGGAACUGGACCAUCAGUUUCAGGCCAAGAGGGGCAGGCCGAGGACAUCGGAACAAUGUUCAGUUAUUUACUUUGAAAGUCAAAGUCACACAGAGAAAGGGAGAGACAGAGAGAUCUUCCAUCUGCUGGUUUACUGUCUAGAUGGCUGCAAUGGCCAGGACUGGGCCAGGCUGAAGCCAGGAGCCAGGAGCUUCUUCUGGGUCUCCCACAUGGGUGCAGGGCCCAAGCACUUGAGCCUUCUUCUGCUGCUUUCCCAGACAAAUUAGCAGGGAGUUAGAUUGGAAGUGGAGCAGCCAGGACUCGAACCACCGCCCAUGUGGGAUGCUGGUGUCACGGGCAGUGGCUUAACCUGCUAUGCCAGAACACCGGUCUCCAGUUUUCAAUUUUUUAAAAAAUUCUGAAGCAAGGCUUUUAGUUCUUAAUGUGGAAUAGCUUAAGAAAGUAGAGAUGCUUUAAAAAAAUGGGUUUUACCAAAAUAGCAUUUAAAAUCGGGUUUUGAAGUUUGUUUUGCUAUUUCAUGGUUGUAUGUGUUUCUUGAGAAUUUAUGGGAUGGCCGUCAUAUUCAUCCUGCUUUCCGUUCUCUCCCCAUUCCUCUGCUGCUGUCCAGAAUGUUCCCUGUUCCAUAUCAGCCACUGUGGAGCCCCUCAGUGACCCUGCACAGUUGGCCUGCCUGGAACUCACUCUCCAGAGGGUCUCCAGGUCAGCGCCCACCACCAUGGUUCACCAGCGCCAUUCUGGGAUGCAGCAGGAACCUUAAGAAGCCCGCGUGCACGUGGUGGGCUGCAGUGCAGUCGGUGACAAGCUGAGCAAGAACUACUCCCAGAGCAGCCGUGAGUGGCAGCCUGACUUGGCAGAGUAGCAGCACCGUUAGGCAGAAGGGUUACGUCACCUGAGGCGAGUUUUAGAAGGGUCAUUCUGGAAGUGAUUGGAGCGUCGGUCAAGGGGGGCAGGCCUCUUAGGAAGCUGUUGUGGUGACGGAAGCGACACCCUUGUCACUGCUGUGCUUCUACCCCAUGGCGGCUGGCGGCCUUGUGUCCACAUGGGGCAACAGCAGCCCCCGGUGGCCGCCAUGUCAAAAACUUGGAUGUUUACGAUGGCUGAACUUGGGGUGGUAGUUUCAGCCUCGGAGUUGGGGAGAACGUGGGAGGAAGAUUGUGCAGGGUAAGGAGGAAGCCAGUCAGAGCUGGAGAUGUGCUCCUUCCUGAGGCUGGGGGCCGUCUCUGCAGGAGGUGCCACGCUGGGAUGGAGUGGGGGCAGAGAAGUCACAUUUGUCAGCUUAAAGGGCAUGUGUUUCCGGCAUCAUGCCACAUCCCUUGUCUGUCCCGUCUCACUUUCUGUGCUGCGGGGAAGUAGGGAUUCUCAUCUUCGAUUUUGCUGGUGAGAGAACUUGAAUAAUAUGGUUUGGCCAAGUCAUAUAUCCAGAUCUGGAAUGUGAACUUGGGUUUAGCUUAUUCUUUAUCCUUUAAAAAAAAAAAACAAACCAUUUUAUUGGGGGCCAGCCCUGUGGCGCAGCAGGUUAAGCCACGGCCUGCAAUGGCAGCAUCCCAUAUGGGUGCCGGUUCAAGUCUGAGCUGCCCCACUACUGAUCUAGCUCCCUGUUGAUGGCCUGGGAAAGCAGUGAAACAUAGCCCAAGUCCUUGGGCCCCUGCACCCAUGUGGGAGACCUAGGUGGAGUUCUAGGCUCCUGGUUGCAGCCUGGUCUUGCCCCAGCUGUUGGCUGUUUGGCGAGUGAACCAGUGGAUGGAAGAUCUCUCUGUCUCUCUCUUUGUAACUCUGCAUUUGAAAUAAAUCUUUUUUUUUUUAAACCACUUCAUGGAACAUGAUAUUCAUAGGUAAAAGUGCACAUAUCCCCAGCAUCAGCUUGGUGCGUUGUCACAGGCUGAGCAGCCUUGGCAGCCAAGCAGCCGUGUCUGGGAAGCUGACGUUAAUGCUACCCCAGGCACUGCACCUCUGCUGCUGCCCCUGCCUGCCUUUUAAUGGCUUAGGUCAGUUCUACCUGCCUUCCCCUUUGAUUUGGCCCAUUUUUCUUUGCUUUUGCUUGAGGGUACUUUAAAAAGUUUGCAGAGAAAGGAAUGAGAAGUUUAUUUUGGUCGAGAAAAUUUUUGAAAUCUGUGUGUGCAGGGAGGAGGGGGUCUUCGAAAAGUUCAUGGAAGAUGCAUGUGGAAAAAAACUGAUAAUUUUUUUUGUGUGUGUGGAACCAAAUUUUUACCUCUAGUAUUUGGGGACCCCUUUGAAGCAGCCCUGUGUAUGCUUUGAAGCUGUGAGGUGGCAGGGGGAGGGUGCCGAGACCAGAGCCAGAGCCUGGGGACGUGGAGGGGGGGACCAAGGGAGAGGUGGGAUCGGAGCUGCAGGUUGAGGCCGAGGGGUCCGAGGGAGCAUGGAGAGGUGGGCUUCCAGGGCUCAGGAGAGCCUUGUUGAGGAUGGAGGUGGGAGUUACUGUGCCAGACAGGGUGGAAUCAGACUGGUACCCAGAGAGGCCGUCGGUGGCCUCGGGGAGAGUGGGUUCAGAGGAGUGCACCCAGGACCGUGGGUCAUGGCUGGAGCAGCAGGUCUAAGGUUGGGAUGAGCAGGUGCUCCCUCGGAGAGGAAGUGCGGAGAUGAGGUGGGACGACGCCUCGGAGAGGAUGGCCUCGGCUUUCCUUGGGGGGUUUGUGUGUGGCUGCUAGUGGGGAGACACUUGCUGGUUUAUCAGGUUGUGGGUAAGUUCCGACCACUGCUCUCUGUUAGUGUCUUUAAAGCAAGGCAGCACUGUGAGGUGCACAAGGAAAGGAGUCGGAAGGUGAAGUGAGUUCAGCUUUAGUCAGCACAUUCACAGUGACUGCAUGCGAAAUUGUUAGAGUAAUAUUUAGGAUGGGUUACGUUGCUAACUUCUGUCACCAUUUUUUCCUCAAAUUAUUUGAGAGGUAGAAAGAGACAGAAAAACACGGAGAUAGAGGUGAGAUCCUAUCCCCUGGUUCGCGCCCCAAAUGCCUGCAAUGGUCAGGGCUGGGCUGGGCCUGAAGCCAGGAGCUGGGAACACAGUGCAGGUCUCCCACUUGUGACUGACAGGGACCCCGAUAUGUGAACCAUCACUGCUGCCUCCCAAGGUCUGCACUGGCGGGAAGCAGGUGUCAGGAGCCAGAGCUGGGAUUGGAACCUAGGCACUCCACCGUGGGCUGUGUGUGUCUUAACUUCUGGGCUCCUCGUCAGCUGAUUGGAAAGAGCUUUUUUUGGAUCAUAGGAGAUUAAAAGUUUAAAGUGGUGAUUUUCAGGUGAUGCCUGGGCAAUGACUAGGGUACAAUUUUUUUUUAAGACUUAUUUAUUUAUUUGAAAGGAACAGUUAGGGUCAGGGGAAGAGACAGAGAGAAAGGUCUUCCGUCCACUGGUUCACUCCCCAGAUGGCCACAAUGGCUGGAGCUGGCCCCCUCUGAAGUCAGGAGCUUCUUCCGGGUCUCCCAUGUGGGUGCAGGGGCCAAGCACUUGGGUUAUGCAAUGCUGCUUUCCCAGGUGCAUUAGCAGGGAGCUGUAUUGGAAGUGGAGCACCUGGGACUUGAACUGGUACCUAUGUAGGAUUCCGGCACUCUAGUCGGCGGCUUGACUUGCUACACCACAGUUAAGAAAACCAAGUUACUGUUAACUUGUGGUGGCUACCAGUCAGUAGGCUGUUAACCCUUGAAGCAAAAGUGUGGUGCAGAAUCAGUGUUGGAAUCUCCCCUGGCUGGCAGACUCUGCUUUGCCUGUGGAAUGGGCUUUCUGCUUCUCAGGUCGGUGGAAGCCCUCUUGACAAGAGCAUGAGUUGAAUUUAUUGAUUAGUUUACAAGUGUUCUUUACAGUGCUUUGUUACUCAGUGUAGAAAAUUUAAAGACACAAAUAAAAGAGGAAAAUAAAAAUCACCGUAUUCUAUAUCCAUACAUGAAAUUUUUCGUAGUAUUUAAAAAGAAAGUCAUCAAAGCCAUUUAACCAGAAAGCACCUUCUUAGAAUGGGGUAGGGCAACAAAAGGCAGCUUUUGUGAGUCAUUUCUGAAGUUCUUGAUAAACACCUCCCUCAAAAACAAGUUAAGAAAGCGUGGUGAAAUUGACCCAGCAUUUAUUCAGUCAUCAAACACUUGUUCCGGGGGCUCAGCGUUGUGGUGUUGCUGGUAGAGCCACCACUUGUGACAUUGGCAUCCUGUAUGGGUGCUGAUUGCUAUCCCGGCCACUCCACUUCAGAUCCAGCUCUCUGCUAAUGGCUGAAGCUCCUGGCUCCUGGCUUUGGCCUGGCCUGUCCCUGGCCUUUGUGGCCAUCUGGGGAGUGAAUCAGUGGAUGGAAGACCUCUCUCACUGUCUCUAUCUCUCCCUUUCUCAAACUCUGACUUUCAAAUGAAUAAAUAAAUCUUUAAAAACAAAAACGAAUGCUUGUUGCAAGGCCUGCUUUGUGCCAGGUACCAUGUAAGGCUGUGGGCAAGGGGAGCCCUUUGGGAGGAGUGGGUGUCCGGGGCACUUGAUUUGGGGAGCACCUUGAGGUUGGGGGAGGCAGUGUGCAUGUGGCAGGUGCAGCGCCCUGGAGGGUGGCAGAGGUUGCGGGGCCCAGCGAGGCUUGUUCUUGAAAAUCAGGCUUAGGGCUGUGAAUUUGUGCUGGGGUCAGGGACUGCACUCUGAGGUAGUAAAGUGGGGACAGGGCUGGAUCAGAGUUGACUUUGUACCAGGCCGCAAACAGGAAACAAGUCGUCUGAGGUGGGAAAAAAAUGCCAAUUCUGCUUUACCCAGACGCAGUAAAGCACAGAUGGGAUAGUAAAUCCCUUCAUCAUUUGCAGCAGGGAAAACAACACACAUAUGUAAAUGAUAGGCAGUGCGGUUUAUUACUGACACUUUGUUUUUAUCUAAAAUUUUAUGGUAAAAUUUAUAAUAUUCUGCUCUGUCAAUAGAAAAAUUUAUAAAAUGUGUUUUGAAUGAGCAUUUAUGGAACAUGGAUUCAUUGUUAAGAAUGAUUUAAUUUAAAAGCAUAUAAAAUUUUGAAAUUUAAGGUGGAAGUUGGAAAAUGUCCUAUGUGAUAUAUCAUUAAUAACAUACUUGUCUUUUUCAUAAACCUCAAGACUGUUUUAUUAGAGCUUUGAAAUGCCACCGACAGGAUUAGGGCCACCAGUUUAUAUUCUGUCAUGUAGUUAUAAAGUAUACAGUAAAUUAAGUUUUAUCAAUAUGUAUUUGAUAUAGUUUGCAACAUCCAGCAUGAGAUGAAUUAGCUGAAAUUUACAACCAUUGCUGUCCUAAGCAAAAUUCUUAACCAUAUCCUUUUGAUCACUAAUUACUUACGCUGGUAUUCUUCCACAGUCAACAGUAAGGAGCACAUGCAGGUUAAUUUCGUUUUCCUCUUGGGAUCUUGGAUAAAGUGGCAUUUAUUUCAGCAGUGUUCCAGUAAGUGUGAUGAUCCUGAUAGGUUAUUGGUUGGAGAGGCAGUGGCGGUCCUGGCUUAGGAGUAUAGCACACUACCCUCACGUGUUUUCCUGGUAAACACUCCUUAAACAUACAGAAAUCUACUUAUAGGGCUCGCUAAGUCGAUUCUCCUUUGCUGGGUCAUCUGUGUGCUGGGGACUGGGAUUUGUUUGUGUCACGGACGCUCGUCUCCUCUCUCCUGCUCCUCUUGGCAAGGCUAGGAGCUGUGAGGUGUGUCACAGUGGUGUUGGUGGCACAGUGGCUGUCUGCCAUGCAGAGCGGACCUGAGAGGGGCAGACUGCAAGCUAAAACCAAGUGGAAAAGUGUCUUAGUUUGUCAGUCCUGUGAAGCAUUCAAGACUGUUUGGAGAUUCUCUAUGUUCUCUAUUUUCCUUACCAUAUUUUUCUUAGAUACUAUUAAUAUGGAAGUAAUACAACAAGUUAAAUGAAGGCCUUUCCAUCUAUAUGUUUAAUAAUUAUAAAAAGUGAAGAAACAGGUCCAGGAUGGUGUUACUUUCCUGUAUCUGCUGAUUAACUUAAGCACCUUAGCCCAAAUAAAAGGGUCUGAACUCUUGAUUCUAAUCAGAAAAUGUCAUCCAAAAAAAAAAAAAAAAUAUGCCCGUUUAAGGGAAUGAGUACUUGUUAUACACAUUCAUUUUUCUGACAUUUGAUUUUUUUUAGAUAAUUGCAAGGCUGACUCCCUCUGGCAGGGUGGAGAACCGUUUGGCUUUGGUCUUUGUAGGUACGAGGACAUUUAACCAGUUGGAAUAAAUGCUACUCAGUAUGCAGGGCCCUGUUCCGACAAAAAUAGCCACUGUGUCGGAGGCUGGUGGAGAGCUUUGAGUUUCCUAAAUUACGUGGCUCCAGGCACUGUAUGAGAAAGAAGUCUAAUUGUGGCAUUUGGUCAGAUUAAGGUGAAUUGUAUGGGAAAAAAAAUCAGUGAACUAUAUAGGCUUACAGAUUUCUUAGAUUUUAUAAAACAUGGUCCGUCAGCAGAGUUGUUGAAUCUAGAACAGUUCUUGGGCCUGUUUGAUUUUAAAGAAUCUGGUUGGUUCGUAUCAUGUGACACGUGGAGCCUGUUAGUGAGAAGUUUGAGUGCACAGUCGGUGAGUUUCUGCCGUGCGGCUGUUGAUGUCUCCGUGGGAGCCCACGCUGAGUCGGCUGCAACUAGCGACAUGAGUCUUGCUGUAAUUUGAGUGGCUGGAGCCUGCCUCUCCCCUCCCUGCACGCUGAUGGCUGCGUUGCUGGUACUCUUGUAUGGUUGACUUCGAGGUUGUGUUUUCGUUUUCGGUGGGAUCCUGUUGAGGAUUUCCGUUUUCUUCCCGGGGAUGACUGACAGGUUUCAUCUUGCUGACUGACACUACAAUGAACUUAAUGGGACCUUUUCCUGUUCCUGGGGAAUUCUGGGCAUAUCGAUUUUGCCCAACAAAGAAGUCUUCAAUACUUAACAUGUCUAUUAAAAUAGUGUAGACAUUUCGAUCUUUUAAAAUUACUUGAGUUGGAAGGUCUAAUAACUCUGAAAUACUUUCUAAGACCUCUCCUACCAAUAAUGAGAAAAUUAUUCGACUUUUUUUCAAGGUGGCGAUUGAAUGCUCCUUGAGGGUGCUGUUUUCUAAUUGUCUAAACUGACAAGGCACCACUUCCCCAGGGCUCAUUUCCAAAAUAGCUGAGCACAGGACAGGUGUCGUUUUGUUUUGUUUUGUUUUGUUUUUUAAUGUUUACUACGAAGAGCGUAGGAUUUUCUAUUUUAGUUAUCAGUGCAUCUGCACCGAACUAGAACUAUUUUCACCUGUAGUCAGAGUGUCUUCCAGAUCAAGCACUCAGGGCAAACAGGCCUGCAAAGCAUUGUACCCAGCACAAAAGCAGCCCUCAGGAGCUUGAUUUGCUCUUAUUUAUUUGCAUAUGUAAUUUAUUGUAUCUGUAAAAAGGGAAGUUCUUAUAAAAAGCAACAGAACAGGAAAAAACAAGCAAAUUGUUAUUUCUUCUGGUAGAUGAUGAUUUAGAGCUUAGUUUAAAAAUAUUAAGUUUGGGAGGUUCCAUUUAAUCUUAGACUUUUGUUGCAAAGUUGAACCUGUGAAAGCAAGAACAGUUUAUUUAAAACAUCAACAACAUUAAUUGUAGGAUGCUAAGGGUAAAUCCACACAGUGCACUGGUGUUUCUGUUUACCACACGUGUUGGUUUCCAGGCUGUAAGUCAUGAUUGCUCUGUUUCAUAAAGACCACGAAUUUUUCAUGUGUUUAUAUUGACGUAUUUAUCCAUAUUAUGGAUCAUGUGUUAUCACGUUAUUUUAAAAAGGGGGAACUAGAGUUUUCAUAUUUAGAAACUGAGAAAAAAGACAUUAAAAACUUGAAGAACCAGAUGGUUUAACAUAAUAUGCCAUUAAUUUUUGUGUAUUUUAAUUUCUGAAAUAAAUUUAUUUAGUAUUCUAAAUGAGUAUAUUUGCUGCCUUUCGUAUAGUGUGUUAAGGAUUUCUGUGAAGACUUGCUUGUUCACAUAGGUGGAUGGUAUUAGAGGAAACCUUGACAUCAAAAAAAGACCGUCUUGGAGGCCAGUUUUAAGAUCUUGAAGUUCAGUGCCUCAGUGCACUGCCGUGUUGAACCAGCAAAAGUGUUUGCUGUCCUGAUACGAUCAUUGGAAUGAGGAUAAAUUUGGGUUACUAUUAUAAUACAAUUCCAUUUAGAGUUUUUUCAUCUUCCCAAGUUAUGCACAACCCAUUAGAAGGAAAGGGAGCACAAUUUUGGGUGUUAUCCCUCUUAACAAAUCGACAGAUAAAUGGUUCAUUGUCCAUAAGAGAAAGGAAAAGGGUGUCUUCUGACUGGACGAUGAUCUUGUCUACAGACGUAUUGAAACCUGGGAAUUGAAGAAGCCAUGUUAAUCAAACUGUAUUUGAAUAAGGCAAUUGACUUUCGGUUUUUUAAGAUUCUUUACUGGAAUGGUUACAGGCACACUGGAAGUGGAUAAGCAUUUUUGCCUGAAGCUUAUUCAGGCAGCCAGGAAAUCUUUCCUCUUACUUGGCCUAAGCAGAGAUACUUUUCCAUAGGAUAUUGCCAAAAAUUCAUUUGGCUUGGCAGUCACAUGGUCUGUUUUGUGAUUGCUUUCUGAAGGCGGCAAUUCUACUUCAUGAACCCGUUCGUCGUCCUGCCUUAAGUCUGUGGCCAUCUACAAAACACAACGGGUUUACAUCUGAUCUCUCAGCACUGUUAAUGUCAUCGCCUGGCCCCAGGACGUCACUCUGCAUCUGACCACUCUGGUGGCGGGGGUGUCGCACUCUGUUCUGUAGCCGAGGAUUCCGAGGCAAAAGCAGUUAGCAAGUUGGAGCCACACAUUUCAGUGUUUGAAGAAUCCGUGUUUGAGCCCGUUGUUUGCACUGAACAUUUGUUGUUUUAGUGGGAGUAGAGUUUCAGGGUUGAAAGGUGAAAAAGUUCUGGAAAUCGGGUUCACAACUGUGUGACCACACAGAAACGGUUCAGGUGGUAAGUUCUGUGUUACUUGUGCACGGUGUGAUUUUCUUUGUGUGUAUUAUCAGAUGAGUCUACUGGCUCACGUCCAGGAGGUGAAGUGUUUAGGAUCUGGCUCAUCGCUCAUCUACUAGGCCUGCAUUUCACAGUCAGAGGAAGUCAAGUUCCUCCUGAGGUAUAGUCUAAGCUGUUUAAAAGCCUAGUUUUCUCUCCUUUCUAUCAGGAGAUGUAUUUCUUCUUAAAAUGCAGUCAGUGAUGGGCCCCCAUGAAGAAAGACAUGAGUUAGAGUUCCUGCACCAGAGAGGGCGUUUGGUGUGUCCCUGUGAGUGAGACGCCCACUCUUUGUGUUGAGAUAAAAUGGAAGCCUACAGAUAUUCAGAGUUACCAAUGUAUUUUCAACUAUGUAAAAUUUUUUUUUAAAGAUACAAUUAGGCAUAAUGGUUUUCCAGUGGUUAAAAUGAAGCAUUUGCUUUUAAAGUAGAGUAGAAAGUGUGUAUAUGCAAGAAUUAUGCAGUUUGGUUUGCCAAGAUAUUUGUGAUGCCUUUUUAAGAAACAGGAUAGACAUCUGUCAUCUCAGUUAAUUAAAAAACAAAUGACCACUGGUGGAAUCCGAUCUUUUUUCUCUGUCUUAAGUAUCUGUCAAGAUUUACUGGACAGCGCCGCGGCUCAACAGGCUAAUCCUCCACCUAGUGGUACCACACACCGGGUUCUAGUCCCGGUCAGGGCGCCAGAUUCUUUCCUGGUUGCCCCUCUUCCAGGCCAGCUCUCUGCUGUGGCCUGGGAGUGCAGUGGAGGAUGGCCCAAGUUCUUGGGCCCUGCACCUGCAUGGGAGACCAGGAGAAGCACCUGGCUCCUGCCUUCAGAUCAGUGUGAUGCACCGGCCACAGCGUGCUGGCCGCGGCGGCCAUUGGAGGGUGAACCAACGGCAAAAGGAAGACUUUUCUCUCUGUCUCUCUCUCUCACUGUCUACUCUGCCUGUCCAAAAAAAAAAAAAAAAAUUUACUUUUGAGCACCUGAAUUUUCUAAAAUUGUUACUCUUUGUUUUGUCAUUUAAAUUAAAAAGACAUUAAUAUUGGGUCAGUCCUUCAGAAUUGGAUAUUUUAAAUUACGAGGUUAGUCUAUUUAUUUUGACCUAUCUCUGUAGCUAUUUGGAUCUCAGUUCUCUCUGUAAGUAUGAAGUCAUAUAUGCAUAGCAGAUAAUUCUUGCCUACUUCCAUUUCAGUUUCUACAAGCCUACUCCAAUAGGAAACUGUGUUUGUCCACUUGCUGUAUGUGUAUCCAGUCCCUGUUACUUAUUUAUUUAUUUGAAAGAUGAAGGUAGGGAGGCUGGGGGGUGGGAAGAGAUCCAUCCAUUCAUCUGUCCAUCUCUCAUCUGCUGGUUCACUCCCCAAAUUCCCACAACAACAGAGUCGGGCCAGGCCAUAUCCAGGAGCCAGGAACUCAUUCCAAGUCUCCCAUGUGGCUGGCAGGGGCCAAAAAGUACGUAAGCCAUCACAGCUGCUCUCCAGGGUGCACAAUCAGCAGCAACAUGGAAUUGGGAGUGGAGCAGACUUGAACCCAGGUACGCUGAUGGGGGAUGUGGAUGCUACACCGAAUACCUGCUCCCUAGUCCAUCUUUUUAACUGUGUAGGAAAUACUCUAUUUUAUAUUGUUUAACUGCUUGGGAAUUCCUUCUUCUCUCUUUUUUUCCCUCUAUCUUUCCCUCCUUCCCCCACUCCUUUCUUUUGUUCCCAAAAUCCAGUCUAUUUGAAGAGACUCAUGCAACCUGAUUUUAUAAAAAAUGAGUUAAUUUUAAACUUUGAAAAUAUCAAGAAAUAUAAGUAUUAUUUACUUCUUUGACUCAUUCACCUUCUUCCCUGAUAUAAUUAGAUCAUGGCUGAUUAACAUCCUUUAUGUGAGCUAUCAUUUUUUGUGGUGAGACAUUUAAAAUUUACUCUUGUUAUUUUGAAAAAUGCAGUAGUCAUUGGUUUUUGAAAAUAAGUAAUUGAAAGAUAGAAAUUAUUUUCCAUCAAACACUAGUAGUUUUCCUUCCUUUUUUGCAGUUGGCUGUAGUGUUAAACAAGACCUCAGUUGCAGGAGGGAUUUAAUGAAAUGUGUUGAUGUUUUGUCAUGUCAUUCUUAUAGGUUUAUAAAUUGGCUUGGGCAUUUGUAAAAAUUAAUUCAUACUUGAGGACUUAACAUUUCAAUGUUUAGGAUAUCAGCCAAGCAACCCACAUCUACUCAGCAUGAAAGCGAUAAAGGAUAUAGUUUCUGGUUUAUAAUUUAGUUGGUGACACCCCCAGCCCUGUCAUCGCUGCUGGUCCACACUGCUAGUCUGUGUGAUGAGCACGUCAGGUGUUCGUGUCCAUUUUUUGUCAAGAGGGAGUUGAGACUCUGGGCAUUAAGUGGCUUGCACUGGGUCACCUGGCUGUGGAGUCAGAGUCAGGGGUAGGGCUAGGAUCUUUUGACUCCUAGACCCUUCUGGUCUCUGCCCCCAUGUUUCAAACUGUUCUUGAAGGAGCCUUCAUAAAGAGGGGACACAGGACUUGAGGGCCACAGACGCCAUCUUGGAGUGGCUUCAUCCUUCAUGUUUUUAGAUAAUGGGGUAUGAAAAAUACUUUUCUUCUUUAAAAAACUUGAGUAAAACUUAGAAAACUACUGCAUUGUAUGCUGUUGGUCUUUUCACUUUGGGAUGGAAGCUCUGGGUCCUCAAUGGUAACUCCACGAAAGAAUGAGAAAAAUAGUCUGUUUCUGAGAUACUCACUGCAAGUACAUUGUCUUGUCAUGUCCCUUUCGAGUCUGUCUGUAAGAAACACCAGCUCCUUACGGAGGGCUGCAGCAUCCCAAUGACUUGGCCUUUGCCCGGUUCUCCAAAAGCACCUCCUGGUCUUUCCCUCUUACUUGAGACCCUCCAUGGCCCACUUGAGUUCUGGCUGACGCUGCCUGCGUCCCUUCUCCAGCCCUCGCGCCAGCAUUUCGGUCGUCUUAGAGGCCUUCUCUGCACGUCCUUCAUGCAACAGGUGCUCCCUUGUCGCCAGCCAGCGCCUCGCUGGCUUCGCACACACCCUGGAACGCGGAGUGGAGUUACGUGAUGACUCUAGCCUCUGAUCUCCGUGUGGGUGGGGCCGUGUUUAUCUCCCUCGCUGUGGAAUCCUUGGUCUCUGCACAAAAUUGGCCCUACACCAGCGUUUUUUGGAUGAGUAAAUGUCGAACGAAUUGUGAGUUAUCGAGAGAUGCUUUCUGUAUAUUCACCGACCUCUGAGGGAAAUCUUAAAGUAUAUAGAUGGGGAUUUACACAGAAAUUGAUUGUAGUGAGGCUGGCAUUGUGGCAUAGCAGGUUAAGCUGCAGCUUGUGAUGCCAGCGUCCCAUGUGAGUGCUGGUUCAAAUCCUGGCUGUCUGGCUUCUGACCCAGCUCCCUGCGAAUGCACCUGGGAAAGCAGUGGAAAGUGGCUCAGGUGCUCAGGCCCCUGCACCCAUGUGGGAGACCUGGGACAAGAUCGUGGCUCCUGGCUUUCAUUGUGGCCAUUUGGGGUAUGAAUCAGUGGAUGCAAGAUAUCUUGCUCUCCCUCUGUAAAUCUGCCUUUCAAAUAACUAAAAAAGACUUUAAAAAUGACUUUAAUGUUUGCAUGCAUAACAAUUUUUGGAAUAAUUACAGUGGUAAUUUUUUUUUUUUUUUGACAGAGUGGACAGUGAGAGAGAGACAGAGAGAAAAGUCUUCCUUUUUGCCGUUGGUUCACACUCCAAUGGCCGCUGCGGCCGGCGCACUGCGCUGAUCCGAAGCCAGGAGCCAGGUGCUUCUCCUGGUCUCCCACAUGGGUGCAGGGCCCAAGGAGUUGGGCCAUCCUCCAAUGCCUUCCCGGGCCAUAGCAGAGAGCUGGACAGAAUCCGGCGCCCCGACCGGGACUAGAACCCCGGGUGCCGGUGCCGCAGGCGGAGGAUUAGCCUAGUGAGCCAUGGCACCGGCCUAUAGCGGUAAUUUAAAAGAGUCUUGUGCCGGAUCUUUGUGGGAUGCCUCAUGCCCAGCACAGCUUGGUGGGGUUAGUAGUGCGUCUUCACCGUAUCGGCGAUGUCCAGAGACCCUGGGCGAGUCAGGGGGAGUUGAGGGCCAGUCUGUCAGUGACUCAGCUCAGCACUCGUUCACUCCGCUUUGCCGCCUCCUGAGUGAAUGCCGAAGUUGUCUUGAAAGUUCCCUUCUGAUGAAUUCUUGCUUUCCCAGAGGCGCUGGAUGAACGAGGUGUUGCUGUAAUGAGGUGCUAAUUGAAUGGCACAGAGAGUAAGUGCAACAGAAAUUAAGAAGGAAGAGGUGUGUAGGGAAGGCACGGGAACUUUUGGAAGUAGCUGUGCGACUUCAGCUCGUUGGGGCAAUGCUUCUCAAGCGUCUGGACGCUGGACUUUGUUGGCAUUGGAGGUACACAUAAGGACAGAGCAGAAACAAGCGCGCUGCAUUUGGAAAGCACACGUUCAAGUGGUGUGUGUGUGCUGGGGGUUGCGUUGGAGAAAAGUUGGAUGUCCGUUUAAAAAGGGGUGAGGAAGACCGGAGGGUGCGUAAGCCACACAGAAUUUAAUUUUUCCUGUCGUCAUGAAGCACAGUGGCAUUGUGAAAGAGGAUGAUAUUUUAGGAGGUCCCAGUUCCUAGCAGUGGUGUUUGAUGCACUCACGUGUUGAUCUGUGGGAAUGGCAUUGUGCUAAAGUUCGUCCGUUUCUCUUUUCAUUUAGCACGUUAAAAAUGGCAUUUUGUGAUAGCAAACUUCAAACACAUACAACUAUGGAAAGAAUAGUUUAGCAAGCCCCAUGUGUGUCAUCUAGUGUCAGUUACCCACCCAUAGCCAGUCUUGGUUCUUUUUAACCAUGCUUUCCCCAGUAACCUGUCUCCACAACUCCGCCUAUACAGACCGUCUUAUUUUGAAGCAAAUUGGAGAAUUCCCCUUCCCACUGUUUCAGUGCACCCUACCCCUACCCCCACCCCCUGCCCACCAACCCUACCCGUCCGUUUUGAGCUCUGUGCCCGUUUUACACCUGGUAGCUACUGUGGAUAUUUCCGUUCAUAUCCCUUCCUGCAGCCACAAAUAACCCGGAUUGAUUUUGAUUUUCAUUCACGUCCUCCUAAGGCCUUUUGGGAGAAUUUGGCUUUCCAAAGUGGGAUCCCCGGAUAAUGAGGUAUGCACAUACUUGACCUCACUGAGUACUGCCAGCUUUAUUUCCAGAAUGUCUGUCUGGAUCGAGCGUCCCUUCCCCCGAAAUGCUGGGGGCCAGAAGUCCUUCGUGCUGUUACGGGUUUUGAAGCAUCUUCACACACAUAAUGGGAUAUCUUGGAGACAGGACCCAAGCCUGAGCCUGGCAUCCAUGUCUAUCUCCCAGACUCCUCACAUACAUAGCCUGAAGGUAAUUUUAUGCAGUGUUUUUAGUGCAGCUGCGUGUUUGCCUACACGGUGUCAGGUGUGGGAGUUUCCACUUGCGGCAUCACAUCUGUGUUCACAGAGUUUCAGCUUCUGGAGCAUUGUGGAUCCUGGGCUUUGGCUUAGGGACUGUUGGACCUGUACCACUUUACACUGACGAGCAGUGAGGAGAGUGCCCAUUCUGCCCCGUGUCCAGCAGCACUUGGUGUUGUCUCCCAUCGUAGUUUGGCCAGUCUGGGCGCUUCUGUCUUAGACAUUUGUUAUCUAUUAUCCUUAAAGCCUCCUGCUGUCCCUGAUUUUUUUUCUGCCGGGAAAACCCUUUCAUUGAUUCCCUCCGUUCAGCUGUCUGCCUGUGGAUCAUGUCCAUCCACUGACAGUACUCCAUGGCUUGCUUGUUUCAUGUGAUGUAUCACAGAAAACACAGUAAUUAUUUAUAUUGCAUGUUUGCUUAUUUUGCCUGCUCAAGUUCUGUGAAGUCAGGGACCUUCUCUGUGUUGUUUAUGCUGGUAUCUCUAGCGCUUAAAAAAAAAGUAAGUACUCAAGGCAGGUGUUUGGCCUGGCGGUUGAUAUGCCAUUUGGGAUGCCCGUUUGGCUCCUGAGUCUAGAUUCCUGCUGGUCCAAGCCUUGGAAGGCAGUGGCGAUGGCUCAGGUAGUUGGGUUCCUGCCAUCCAUGUGGGAGACCUGGUUGGUUCUUAGAGUUCCAGCUGCUGGCUUUGGCCCCUUAGCUAUUGUGGGCAUUUGAGGAAUGAGCCACUGGGUGGGAGCUUUCCCUCUAUUUGUUUCUGUCCGUCCAAUAAAUCGUAUGAAAUAGUAAGUGGGGGCCUCGGUAAACAUCGUUGAUGGAAUUGGCAGGAGGUGACUGUUCCCAUCCUUCCUCGGCUCUCCCUGCUCAGCAGGUGUUUCUGGACGUUCCGGACUUGAAUCCCCGCUCUCUGUAGACACUGGAAGAUCACCUGCUCAUUGUUUCCUGUAGGAUCUUCCUUCAGAUAGGAAGCGUAGAUUUCUGAGUGGUGCAGUCAUGACAUCACAGCAGAUGGGUCAACACACUGCGAUUCGUGUUUUUGUGGGCCGAAGCAGCCCUUUCCCGACCUGAUACCACAAAUUUCCCUGCAUUCUACUUUUCUGUAUGUUUUACAAUCAUCUAUUUUCUGUUUGGGCCCAUUGUCCCUCAGGAAUUUGCAUUUGGUGUGAGGUACAGUGUUAGAUUUUCUGUCUCUUCCAGUUUGCACCUUUGCUCAUGUUUUGGGGUACACUCUCACCGUGUGAGUUCUCUCGCAUAGUGUCUCGUAUCACAGUGCUUUUGUGGCAGUGGCUUUGCACUGUGUCCAACAGUUUGGUAGGCCAGUCAUCCCUCUUUUUAAAAAUUGACUUAGCAACAUUCACAGUAGCAAGAAUCACAGUCAAAUAACGAACCUGAAAGGAAUGCACGAGACCAUUAGAGAGGAAUUAAAAACUCUAUUAGAGGACAUAAAAGAAGACGUAAGUAAUAGGAGAUGAAUACCAUGGGAUGACUUAAUGUUAUAAAGAUGUCAGUUCUCCCAGAAGUAUUGCAAAAACUGAAUACAGUGAAAAAGUUUCAGGAUUGCUUUUUGCAUACCUCAGUCUACUUAUUCUAAAAUUUAUUUGGAAUUUAUUAAAAUGUGUCUGGAACUUCUUUUUUUAAAUUUAUUUAUUUGAAAAUCAAGUUACACAGAGAGAAGGAGAGGCAGAGAGAGAGAGAGAGAGAGAGAGAGAGAGAGAGGCCUUCCAUCCGCUGGUUCACUCCCCAGUUGGCCAUAUGGCCGGAGCUGCGCCAAUCUGAAGCCAGGAGCCAGGAGCCUCUUCUGGGUCUUCCACAUGGGUGCAGGGGUCCAAGGACUUGGGCCACCUUCUACCGCUUUCCUAGGCCAUAGCAGAGAGCUGGAUCAGAAGUGGAGCAGCCGGAACUGGAACCAGUGCCCAUAUAGGAUGUUGGCACUGCAGGUGGCGGCUUUACCCACUACACCACAGCGCUGGCCCCGUGUCUGGAACUUAGUAUAUGUCAACUUUUGAAAGAAAUGUAUACUUUCCUAAUUCUUUGUAUGCUGUAUUCUUAGUGGCUAGCUUUUCAGUUCUGAUAGGGAGUCGAUUGGCAGCCACAGAGAAGAAAGAAAGAGGAGAGCAGGAGAGAAAAGUGAUGGGAACUGUGGAGGUAGCAGCAAAUGGCCCUCUCAGAGAAAGAGCAGAGGCGAUGAGGGCGUGGUGGAUCAACACCUUGCUGCUUCCUUCUGAGUGUGGUGAGAACCAAGCACAGGCAGUUGCCCACAGCGUCUCUCACCGCUCGUGCUGUGCUGUGCGAGUGACCUAAAUCACGCCUAAUGCAGCGGUCUGUAUGGGCUGCUAACAGUUCACAGAGCAGGCAUCGCCGAGAUGCCACUCAGUGUCGGAUGCCCAUAAAUAAUGACGACCCCUGGGUAACCACAAAGACCUCCACGUGUGUCCUCGAUGCUAUGUGUAAAGUGGCAGGGAAAUAGAUAUUGGGGAUUUUCAGUAAAGGGCAGUUGAACUAAAGAAAUCAGCACUUUGGGUAGAAAACCCCACGCUAUCAGUUACCCAUUUGCUCAAUUUUCAGAAUCACACUUUUACCCUAUUUCCGGUUCACAUGUGAUUGUGUGUGCUUACAAGCUGAAAAUAGAAUAAAAUCACUCUGUUUUCUGGGGACUACCAGUAGAAGAAAACUGGAGUGUGAGAAAAUGACCGUCCUGAUACCAUACUGUCAGUAGUUGUCUGACUUGGAAGAGCUCUCUGGAAGUUAAGAAAGACAUGGGAAGUGUUUUUAGGCCCUGUGAUUCUUCAGCCUGACCUAGAAGUAUUGAGUUGAUUCACUCGGAAGCCUGGGGCUUGGCUUGACAGGUCCCCACACUGUAACCAACCCCCCAUGAGUAGUGCGCUUCCCAGUGCUCGUGGGAUCUGUUCAGACUUGACUGGCAGUUGACAGAUUUUAGGGUUCCUACUCUUCUGAUUGUUUUAUGAAAUCCCUGAAAAUGGCACAGUGGGGCCGUGAACCUGGAUGAUUGGUAACCGUGCUAGAGAAUGUGGAAUGAGACCGCCCUGUGACUGCUUUGCUCCUGUCCAAUUUUAUUUUUAAACCAGUAAACUACUAAUACUUUGCUUUGUGAUGAUUGCCUAUCAAGCAUGCCUGUGAUGAUAAAAUAGUAAAAAGAAGGCCCCAGACUGUUGAUGCCCUAUAUUUGUGUGUGUGCUUUAACCAGAUUGUUUCACUUCUGUGUGGAAUAAUCAGACACGCGUGUAUCACAUUUCAGCAGUGAAAUGAAUCUUAGCAGUUAAGAAAUCAGUAUAGAGAUCUUUUCCUGUGUCUAACUACUGAAUGAGGGCAAAAGGCAGGCUGUGGACUGGAAAAGCGCGCGGCUGGUGGAGGAGAGAGGAAAUCUCAGGAGCUUGGCCGCAGAGGAGGGAGCCGCCUGGAUGCUGGUCUCAUCAGUUGCAUGGCCUCUCUUCUGUAAGAUGAGAAAUACAUGUUUCAUGUGUACACAAUGGAAUGUUACUCAGCCGUAAAAAAGAAUACCAUCCUGACGUGUACAACAAGAUGGAUGUGACUGGAGAUUCUUGUGCUAGAUGAAACAGACCAGACCCUAAAAGAAAAAUAUCACCUUUUCUCUUAUUUGUGGUAGUAGAGAGAGGAUAAAAAUUGGAUGUCAGGUCAUUGUGUAUGUAGUUAUAAGUAUUGCUUCGCUGAAUCAUACCAUGUAAAUGACAAUACACUCUUUUUUUAAAAUUUUUUAUUUAUUUUUUUAUUUUUUUACAGAGUGGACAGUGAGAGAGAGGCAGAGAGAAAGGUCUUCUUUUUGCCGUUGGCUCACCCUCCAAUGGCCGCCACGGCUGGCACGCUGUGGCCAGCACACCACGCUGAUCCGAAGGCAGGAGCCAGGUGCUUCUCCUGGUCUCCCAUGGGGUGCAGGGCCCAAGCACUUGGGCCAUCCUCCACUGCACUCCCGGGCCACAGCAGAGAGCUGGCCUGGAAGAGGGGCAACCGGGACAGAAUCUGGCACCCUGACCGGGACUAGAACCCGGUGUGCCGGCGCUGCAAGGCGGAGGAUUAGCCUAGUGAGCCGUGGCUCCGGCCCGACAAUACACUCUUAGUUCACACUUCAAAAAAGAAGUGGAGCAGGGAUAAUAAUACUUGGUUCUUAAUUUGGUUGGUGGUCAUGAAUGUGAUCAGAUGCCAAACACUCAUUGAUCUGUACACCUCUGUGCAUUUCUUGGAGUGUGUAUUGUAAUUUAGUAAAAUGUUAGAGAGAAGAGCAGCACUGGUGAUGUCUGAGAUCCCGAGGCGUUCCUCUUGUUGGCGUGUUAGGCAGACAUGUAGACAGAGGCGCUGGUGUAGACUGAAAGGCCUCCGGGCACCGGGAGCUGCAGUGCCCUGAACGCUUGUGGCAGCAGCCGUGCCGCUUCUUCAGGAACUGUGAAAAGCCCUGUCCUAACUCUGAUGGGCUGUGAUACAGGUUUUGAAUGAGAAUGCGGGGGGUGGGGGGGUGCUUGCAGAAAGAGCGUUCACUGCCAGCCUGUGGCAGUGGUGGCCCAGGUGGGGGUGGGCUGGGCUUUCAGCAUCGGGAGACUGCAUCUGAGAGCGGUCGGUGGUGCCGGAGUUUAAAACAGAAGUGACAUCCGGGCGACCGCUGAACCCGGCAGCACAACCUGUGCUGCCUGAAUCAUGUUUUUAAUUUUCUGUGUUUUAGGAUGUUUUGACUUUUGGGGCCUUGCUGGCUAGGGACAGACUAGCCCUCCAGGGCUGGCGAAUUCCUAGGGAGCGAAGGACUCCCCUGUAGGUGUACCUUUCACAUACAGAGCAGCCAGGCCAGGGCCCCUGUACCCACCGCCGCCCUGAGUCACUGCCCUCCUGCCCUGGUUUACCCCAAGGCCAGGUUCCAGGCCAGGCAGUGCGGUCCUCCCUCCCAGAUCAUGCUGGAACGACUCAGACUCACCCGUCCUGAGCGGCUGGCCCUGCCCUUCCAUGCCUCUCCUGCAGGCCCGUGCCCAGCUGGCCCCCUUCUGCCUUCGCCCAGCCCUGGUGCUUUCCUGCGUGACCCCGCAUGGCCAGGCGUGAUGUGCUCCUGUCUCUUGAAAUUGCCUCAAAGGCAGUUAGUUGUCUUGUGUCUGUCGUCAUUGACAGUGAAAACAAAUCUUAGCUAGAUUUUGCUUUAUUAUUUUAGAAGCUUUCUUGGGGCUGGAGGUGGGGAGCAUCCACUGGUCCACUCUCCAGACACCCAUGUCAGGAGUCAGGAACUCAACCUAGGUUUCUCACGCGUGUGGCAGGAACCCAGGUACUUAGUCUGUCGCUGCUGCCUUCCAGGUUCUGCAUUGGCAGGAAACUGGAAAUAGGAGCCCAAGCCAGGCAUUGAACCCAGGUCCGUGCGUGUGGGAUGCAGGUGCCUUCACAGUAGGCGGAGUGCCCACUCCGUGUUCCUCGUGUUCUGGCCAUGUCUCACUCCAAGCUCAGAGUCUUGAUGGGUAGGAGGACCUCGGGCGCUGGUGUUUCCCCUGCACGGUGCCUUCCUGCCGUGCACACUGAGCUCUGGUAGUGAGCAGUCCAUGCUGGACCGCCCUUUGGAGAAGUGGCAGCUUGGGCUGUGUGGGGACAAUCACCUGUCCUGUCGUUCUCUGGGACUGGCAUUAGCUGGAGGGAGGGGAACCAGAUGACCACAGAGGAAAGCCCACCAUGGCCAGUGUUCACUGUAGAGGCAUGUGAUGAUUAGACUGUUCUAGAACCUGUGGCGACGGCCUCUGGAUCCUAGUGUACAGCAGGAAUGAUUCAUAAGCAACAGUAAUGUUGUAUACUUUUACCCAAAAUAUAUUCUUAUUUUCAGUGAAAAGCAUGAAUGGAGGAGAAUUGGACCAAACCCCAUGCAUUUAUUGUAAAUGAGAUACCAGUUAUAUUUAAAGUGGGAGAUUGAUGUAAGGGGUUUGUAGCAACAUAUUAGUUAGUAGUGCCUUUAGACGUCUCCAUUGGAAUUUCUGCCCUCCUGCAUUAAGGCAGCUGCAGGCUUCCUUGCGACGCGGUACUAGUGAGUGCAUUUCUCAGCUGCAGUCCCGUUGCGCGGUGACUAGUUGAUGUAUUCUGUUUUCCUAGGUGGUGUUGUUGGGCAUUUCUGAAAUGCGACAUUUAUUCUCUUAUCAUAGUUACGUUAAUAAAUGUAACUAGCGUAGGGCACCUCAGUUCAGAGCUGGUUCAGCGCAGCUGGUGAAAUUCGGCCCCACCAGGUGCCCGUUCUGCCUGCCUCUGCCUGGGGGGUGGGUGAGGGAGGGGGUCUCCGCUGUCCCGCCAGGGCAGCCGGAGCACUGCUGCGGGCGGCAGGAUGAUGGGGAGUUGCUGGGUAACCCUGGGCAUGAGCCCCUCUGCUUUGGCUGCUUUCUUUCUUUCUUUCUUUCUUUUUUUUUUUAUUUUUUGACAGGCAGAGUGGACAGUGAGAGAGACAGAGAGAAAGGUCUUCCUUUGCUGUUGGUUCACCCUCCAAUGGCCACUGCUGCAGCCGGCGCACCGUGCUGAUCCGAAGGCAGGAGCCAGGUGCUUCUCCUGGUCUCCCAUGGGGUGCAGGGCCCAAGCACUUGGGCCAUCCUCCACUGCACUCCCGGGCCACAGCAGAGACCUGGCCUGGAAGAGGGGCAACCGGGACAGAAUCCGGUGCCCCAACCGGGACUAGAACCUGGUGUGCCGGCGCCGCAAGGUGGAGGAUUAGCCUAGUGAGCCGCGGCGCUGGCCCAUUGCCUGCUUUCUUAUCCCUGUCAUCCCUUGGUUUUCUCAGCAAGUCAGUUUCUCAGCACCUCUUGGAGUCCUGGCUGUGUGGCACCUCGGUUUCUUAGGCCACAGUGCCCGGUGCCCUGGCUAGUCUUCCUCCUCCCCCUGCCCUCCCAUGUGGUUCCUGAAACAUCUUCCCUGCUGAGAACCGGCUACUCUGAGCUGACCUUGUCUUCUCCCCGCCCCUGCCUGUGGGACCCGUUACUUCACUUUUGCAAAUUGACAUAUAAAAUUGUACCUAGUUACAGGGACCAUGUGGUGUUCAGAUGCAUGUAUAUGUUGUGUGAUGUUCAGAUCGGCACACUGAUCUCCUCAAACAUCUGUUAUUUCUUUGGGGUGAAAAUCUUUAAAACCUUUUUUUCCCUGGUUUUACUGAAACACGCAGUACCUUACCAUGAGAUGCAGUAACCCUGCUCUGCGACAGGAGUCCAAAAUUUACCCCGUCACUUGGUAUCCAUCGGCCAGCUACUCCCCAUGUCCCCGCCCAUUCUCCCCAGUUCUCUCAGUUUCUAGGACAGCGACUCUUUUAGAGUCUCCGUGUGAGAUCACGUGGUCCUUAUAUUUCUGUGCUUGGCUUACUUCACAUACCAUAAGGGUCUCUAGUUCCAUCCAUAUUGUUGGAAAUGACAGAAUUUCAUUUUUUAAAAAAGAUUCAUCUGUUUGAAAGGCGGAGUGACAAGAAGGGAGGGCAGGAUAAAGGGAACGAGGGAGAAAAGGAGGGUGGGAGGGAAGGAGGGAGACAGACAGAACUUCCAUCCACUGGUUCAAUCACCAGAUAGCCACACAGCCAGGUCUGGGCCAGGCCGAAGCCAGAUCUCCCAUGUGGGUAGCAGAGAUCCAAGCACCUGUGCUAUCUGCCAUCUUCCCGGGUACAUUAGCAGGAAGCUGGAUUGGAAGUGGAGUGGCUGGGACUUGAACCAGCAGUAGCUUAACCUGCUGCAUUUCAAUGCCAGCCCCAGGGUUUCAUUUUUUUUUUUUAUGGCUCAAUGGUAUUCCAUUGUGUAUAUGUUCCAUGUUUACUUUGUCUAUGUACCAGUUGAUGGGCACUUGGGUUGUUUCUAUUUUUGGUUAUUGUAAAUAGUACUUCAGUGAACAUGAGAGUGCAGUGUCUUCUUGCCUUUUUAAGAAACUAUUUUCUUAGUUGCUUAAUGUCUAGGUAGGGGGUGAAGGUCUGUUAUCAACAAAGGAAAGCUUAUAAAUAAAUGGUUAAAAAUCAGGCAUGCAGAAGUGGUACACAGCUCUCAAGUGGCUCCCAGGACUAGAACUCGGGGCAGGAGAGGCACCAGCUUUCUUCGGCUGCAUGUCAACAAUCCUUGUUUGCUUACUUGUUUUAGUGUGGAGAGGCCACAGCCACAUCACCCCCACUGAUUGUUUCUGGUGCCUUUUGGGACCCUCAGGCUUUAUGAAUUGUUUGAGUUUUCUGUUUGGAGAGAGGACACAGGGAAAUGCUUCCGUCUUAAGGAGUAUGUAGCAUAAACGAGAGAAAUGGAAUCAUGAAGUUUCUUUGGUUGAGGACAAAGGACUUGAGGCAGUAAGAAGGGGACCAUCGGCAAGAAGAUGAACUUCACGUGGGGUGCAUGCUGGGCCUAGUGGUUACGAUGCCUGCCUCCCACACUGGCAGUCCUGGGUUCGAUUCCCAGUGCCAGUGGGGACUCUCGGCGGCAGUGGUGAUGGCUGCCGCUGCCCACAUGGUAGACCUGAAUUGCAUCCCCAGGUCCCAGCUGGGCCCUGGCCCACCCCUGGGCAUCGUCGGCGUCUGGGGAGCAUAGCAGCACAAGGAGCUGUUUCUCUGUCUCUCUACCUUGCAAAUGAGCAAAUGACACAUUAGAAACUAGAGAAAAUCUUGGAAUGUACAGUAAGUUAAUUCAGUAGGACAUGUGGAUUUUCAUAUACUAUGAUUGUUUAAAAUGGUGGUAAUGAAGAAAUGGCAGUAUCAUUCAAGAUUUUAAACAUGACGUAUUUGCUCCCAGAGUUCUGUAAAUUGCUAAGAGGCAAGUUGAUGGGUUUGGGACUUGGUGUCACUCUGUUUCUGUUUUGUGGGUGCUGCUAGAAGACAGGAGACUCCUCAGUCAGAGACAAAGGACCUUAUUACUCGGUGCAGCAAGCAUCACGUUUGCUUCGGCUUUGCUUGCCCGUGGGCGUGAUGGAAUAGGUGCAGACUGGUGCUGUAUUACGGGUGGGUAGCAGAGGAGAGCACCGAGCUUGGGCCUGUCCACUGCUCCACAGUCAGCAGGACUCCUCUUUGUCCUAGAGGGUGACUUCAUCUCAGCCCUCGAAGUUGCUCGCUGCAGACACAGCCUGGCCGUGGCUGCGGCUGAGCGUGGCCAGGGUCUUGCAUUCCUGUCACACUCAGCAUGUGCAGGACUGCUGAGAGACCCUUAGGAGGGCUUCUCCCAGCACCUUGUAGUAAGAGUUAGAACAUUCUCUUCUGUUUUUCUUAAGUUUGAAACUGUAAAUAAUGCCAUUUAAAGAAAAAAUUAACUCUAGGAACUGUAUUUUUAAUUUUUAAAAGCUUAAAAAAUUUUAUUCUUUUGAGAGAGAGUGCUGCCGUUCACUGUUUCAUUCCCCAAAUACCUGCAAGUAGCUAAGGCCAAAGUCUAAAGCCAGGAACCCAAUCCUGAUCUUCCAUAUGGGUGUCAGGGGCCCAGCUGCGUCAGCCAUCACUGCUGUCUCCCAAGGUGUGCAUUAGCAGGAAGCUGACAUUGGGAACCAGAGCUGUGCACUGAAUAUGGACACUCAGUGUGGAUUAUGGAUCUCAAAGAAUGGUGUGACUGCCAGGCCAAAUGUUUGCUCCAUAACUAUAAGAAAAGCUUAAACCAGAGAUUGUUCUAGUAGGUUCAAGCCAUGUGUUUCCUUAAUUGUACAAAAUAUCACAAAAUUUAUACCAAACUUUAUAAUACCAAAUGUACUUAGAAUACAUAAUCAUGUUAAGCAUUCAUGCUGCCAGUGGUUUUGGGGUGCGUACUAUUUAAUACACCCUGAAGAUACCUAAGCUAAACAACACAUAGCAUUGACUUUUGUGCAGCUAGGCUCAGAGAGGGAAACGGAUCGAAGAUUCAAAGCAUGGGACUGAUGGGACCAAAUUUGUUUUGAAGAAAAUCACUGUAGUGACACUGAGAUUGGAAGGCGCAUGAGGUUGAUGAGAGAGGCCUGGAGACUCCUAUUAAGCUCCUGUAGUAGUUCAGGUUGGAUUGGGUAAGGGACUGAAUGAAGGCUAUGGCAAAGUAAGUGGAGAAAUGAACAGAGGGAGGGGGAGACAGAGAGAAAGGUUUUCCAUCCACUGGUUCACUCCCCAGAUGGCUGCAAGGUCCGGAACUGGGCCAGUCUGAAGCUAGGAGUUCUUCCAGGUGUCCCACAGGUGCAGAGGCUCAGGCACUUGGGCCAUUUUCCACUGCUUUCCCAGGCCAGUAGCAGAGAGCUGGAUCGGAAAAGGAGCAGCUGGGACAAGAACUGGUGCCCAUAUGGGAUGCCGAUGCCACAGGCAGAGGUUUAGCCUACUAUGCCAUAGCGCCAGUCCCAUCAGGAGAGUUUUAAAUGCCAAGAUAGAGAUUUGGAAAGGAUUUAUUCAUUUAACAAGUAUUUAUGGAAUAUUUGUUUCAUGUGAGGUGCUAUGCUAAGCAUGGAGGCCCAAGUGUUGAACAGCGUUUGUUCUCACGUAGUUUAUGUUCUCAAGGGCUACAGACAUUAGACAAGAAAGUUGCAGACUGUUUUACUGAAGUUGUGUGGAGCACUCACGUUGCCCGACUCUAGCAGGUGCUGUUCACAUAGAGUGCAGUGGGCAAGCUGAUGGUCUUGUUCAACACACGUAAGAGUUAGCUGAGAAAAGAGUUGGCAGAGGGAGGGAGGAGUGACUCCAGGCGGAGGAAACAGCAUGUGCCCAGGCUCUGGGGUAAGAAGGAUCUUGGUGUGAUCAGCAGACAGAAAGACUAAUGUUGGUUGGAUCAUUAGGGACCAGAGAAAGAGUGUGUGAAAUGAGGCUAGAACGGUGCGAAGUGCCAGUGACGUUCUCAGGAACAGGCUACGUAGGAGCUUGUAGACAGAGAAACGUUUUGGAAUUUAUUCUAAAAUCUGCAGUGAACUAUUGAAGGGUUUUAAGCAGGGUGAUAGGAGGUUAUAUUUUUAAAGGAUCGUUAUGACUGUUAUGUGGCAAAUGCUUUGGAAUGGGGCAGAAGUGGAAUCUGGGAGGUUAGUGAGGACUCUAGGCUGAUGAUAAUCCCAGCUUGGGCUGGAUGGAGGCCCUUGAGAUGAGUGGAAGUCGAUAGCGUUAUUUGAAAGGAGGAACUAACAGAACCUGGCGAUUGGCAUUUAUCAAGGUAUCAUAUUGUUCUGGGAGUCAUCCGGAGUGAGAAGAGAAAAGGGAAGCUAAAACCCUGCAAUCCAUCACCAUGUCAGGGGGAGGCUGAGUGGAAGGAGAGACCUACGUGGCCACAGGGAAGAAGGGAAUCGGAAACACACCAGCCCAGGGAUGGGCUUUGAGAAAGGGAAGCCCUGCUAAAUUUCUUUGUGCCAAAGAAGAAGUAGAAGAACGAUGAAAUAGAGAGUGCUGUUGGAUGAGGGGGGUAAUUAAGACAUUUGUAAAGAAUAUUUAGGGCAUCAGGAAGUGUCGAUGAUAUAAUGGUAAUUGAAUAAAACGUUGGGUAAAUGUGCACAUUCAGCAUGAUUACAUACUUUCUUUUAAACUACAUAAGUAUGUGGGCAGAAGAAUAUGCAGACAGUGCAACACUAUGUUGAUAGUAGUUUUAUCUAAAUGGCGACAUUCUUGUCCUCUAAGUCUCUUUGUGCAGUUUUCAAAUUACAAGGUAUGCAUUAAUAUUACUUGGAAAAAUUCUAAAAUUUUGCUGAAUUUUAUCCAUUUUUUUUUUUUUUAGGAUUUAUUUAUUUACUUGAAAGGCAGAGCUACAGAGAGGCAGAGGCAGAGAGGACAAUCUUCCAUUCACUGGUUCACUCUCCAAAUGGCCAGUGUGGCCAAAAUUGGGCCCAUCUGAAGCCAGGAACCAGGAGCUUCUUCCUGGUCUCUCACAUGGGUGUAGAAGCCCAAGCACUUGGGCCACCUUCUACUGCUUUCCCAGGCCAUAGCAGAGAGCUGGAUCAUAAGUGGAGCAACCGAGACUCGAACCAGCGCCCGUAUGGGAUGCCAGCACCACAGGCAGCGACUUUACCCGCUAUGCCACAGCGCUGGCCCCUUACCACUGUUUUACAAAGAUAUUUAAAUAGGGUGUGAAGUUGGGGCCAGUGCCAUGGCUCACUUGGUUAAUCCUCCCCCUGUAGCUCCGGCAAUCCCAUAUGGGUGCCGGGUUCUAGUCCCAGUUGCUCCCUUUCCAGUCCAGCUCUCUGCUGUGGCCCGGGAAGGCAGUGGAGGAUGGCCCAAGUACUUGGGCCCUGCACCCCAUGGGAGACCAGGAGGAAGCACCUGGCUCUUGGCUUUGGAUCGGCUCAGCGCCAGCCGUAGUGGCCAUUUGGGGGUGAACCAAUGGAAGGAAGACCUUUCUCUCUGUCUCUCUCUCUCUCACUAACUCUAUCUGUCAAAUAAAUAAAUAAAUAAAAUAUAAAAAAAUAAAUAGGAUGUGAGGUAGUUCCAUGAAGCUGGUAAGGAAAGAGCGAAACAUGUACUGUCAUGAACUCGUUUGCUGUCUCUUGGCUCUACCACCUUCGUCAGUCUUGGCUGAAGGUUGUGGCCUUCACUCUUUUUUUUUUUUUUUUGACAGGCAGAGUGGACAGUGAGAGAGAGAGACAUCGAGAAAGGUCUUCCUUUUUGCCGUUGGUUCACCCUCCAAUGGCCGCCGCAGCCAGCGCACUGCGCUGAUCCGAAGGCAGGAGCCAGGUGCUUUUCCUGGUCUUCCAUGGGGUGCAGGGCCCAAGCACCUGGGCCAUCCUCCACUGCACUCCCUGGCCACAGCAGAGAGCUGGCCUGGAAGAGGGGCAACCGGGACAGAAUCCGGCGCCCCAACCGGGACUAGAACCCGGUGUGCCAGUGCCGCGAGGUGGAGGAUUAGCCUAGUGAGCCACGGCGCCGGCCUGGCCUUCACUCUUAACUCUAGUAACAGACCUACACUGCCGCUGUCUGCCCCGACAGAGGCUACGUGUCGCGUCCGUCCUGUGGCCCGUCUGGCCCAUCCUGUCCCUGCAGCCUCUCCGUUCUCCCGAGAUGGUGACUCUGCUUUGGUUAGGGAAGUCUGUAGUGUUUGCCUUGUUAUCGGGGGCCCUGCCAGGUGGUGUGUUCUGCGGUGACUUUGCCUCUCCUGCACAGUUGUGAGGGGCACUGUGGUUCAAACCUGGCUUGAGUGUGGCGCCCAGAGGUUCCUGUUCUGGACACGUGGUCCCAGUGUGGUGAUGCUGAAAAGGGGGGCCUUGAAGAGGUGGGGCCUGAUGCAGGGGGUGAGGUCGUUUGGAAGAGGUUGAUGCUGACCAGAGUGAGCGGUUACAGACAGGGGAGUCUGUCCCGCGGGUAUCUCCUGUACACAUGUAUUGCCAUUUGCUACCAGCUUUCACUGGAAACCAGGCAGCUGCGGUUGCCCAGUCUUCUUUCAGCCUUUAAAACUUGGGGCUCAGUAAGUAAACCUCCGUUUAUUAAAUGCCCAACCUCGUGUAUUUUGUUGUAGGAACAGCUGGCAUACAUACACUUUAAUGGUGGCUUAGUGUUCAUUUAUCCCCAACUCUGUCCUGUCUGUAAGUAGCCUCUGAAUUAUUCCAUGUGUUUGAUUUUCUUGGUGAUAAAGCUCUAGACUCUCCCGACCUGUUCUCAUCUAUGCACUCUCUGUCCUGGCCUUGUGGGCAGCUGCUGUCCUGAGCUGUGGUCCCUCUGGUUCGAGUCCCAGUUACCUGCUUUGCUUGUGGUCGUGUCUGUAGCUUGUCCAGACACUCUUCCAGCAGCAUCCUGAGUGUUUGGUGGCUUCUUCUGACCUGGAAGAUGGUUUUCAAUUCUGACAGUUUUGUUGAGUUUGUCCCUUGAUUUCCUUUGCCCAGUCUCUGUGUGUAUGUGUUCUGAGUUCUCUGUUAUCUUUUUAAAAAGAUUUAAUUUAUUUGAAAGGCAGAGCAAGAGACAGAGACAGAGAGAGAGAGAGACAGAGAGAGAGAGUCUUCCAUCUGCUGGUUCACUUUCCGCAUUUGCGCAACAGCAAGGCCUGGGCCAUGCUAAAGCCAGGAGCCAGGAGUUCCAUCUGGUUCCCCCGCAUGGGGGUCAUCUUCUGCCACCUUCCCAGGCACAGUAGCAGGAAGCUAGAUCGAGAUUGGUCAGCCAGGACUGGAACCAGUGCUCAACAUGGACUCUCCCGUCUCAGGGAGUUACCCACCGGCAGUGCCACCACUCCAGGCCCCAAGAAUGCCCAUUUUCAUUGAUGUAGAGAUUUGAACUGGCCCUCUAAUUACUUUUGUAUUUUCAGGUGUUUUCCUCAUUGUUGUUUUUGAUUUUCUGUCAUUAGAGAGAUUCUCAGUUUUAUCUUCCAACCCUGUGCAGAUAAAAGCAAUGCUCAACUUUUCAGAAUACCACCUGUUCUUUCAUGGUUGCUCAUGGUCUUCGAUUUCUUUCGGGGUUGGCAGUGAAAUUUACUUUCCCUAUUAACCUGUUUCUUCCGAAUUUCUCUUGUUUUGCUUCCUUCGGCCUCCGGCUCCCCAGUUCAGGCUCUCCUUUAAGGCGUGGUGGGUCUGUUCACCGCCUCGUUCUAGGGCGAGGGGAGAAAUCCUGACCAGCAGUUCCCUGCCUCUGGCUGAAGCUUGAGGACAUACGGAUUUCAGUUUAGGGUAAUCUGGCUCAGCCGUUCGUUGGGGAACCUCUCUGAUGUCUCCUUUGUAGGCGUUUCAUUUCAUGCCGGUCAGGUUCCCUGGAGGAGACUCUGCCGCGUGCCUGGGGAGCGCAAGCCUGUCCUCAGGCCUUUGGAAACCUCACUGGGGAAGAAGCGCUUACCCUUCUUCUUUAUUCUCUUCAUUUUUAGUGUUUCAUCUGUUCUGAGUUUACCUUACCCAGUGAUAAUACCAUGAAAAAAACCUCCUCCGGGGAAUUGACCUGCAGCCUCCCGCGGGGGUGCGGCAGGGCGUUCACCUGAUUGUUUGCAGUGAGCUGGGAGUGAGGGAAGGCAGAGUUUCGGAGCGACAGAGAGAUCUUCCAUCCACUGGCUCUCUCCCUAAAUGGCUGCCAUGGCCAGGGCUGGGCCAGACUGAAGCCUGGAACUCCAUCUGGGUCUCCCACAUGGCCGGCAGAGGCCCAAGCACUUCAGCCGUCUUCUGCUGCUUUCCCAGAUGCAUUAGGAGGGAGCUGGACCAGAAGCGGAGCCGUUGGGACCUGAACCAGCACCCGUAUGGCACGCUAGGGUCAUAGGUGCCAGCUUAACUCACUAUGCCAUAACACCAGUCCCUCUAACAGCUUUUUAAAAUUAUUUUUAAGCCAUACCUCUGUUUAUAAUUGUUCUUUGCCACUUCCCAAAGUCCCUGGUGCUGUCACUUUAGCCUUUGAAGUGUCUUUCGUGUAACCCUAACCCCACUAUUCAUUUUAUAUGCUUGGUAUUCAGAUUUCUUGGGUCUGAAAGUGGUGUCAGCGUCUUACCUUGCAGACGUCUCGUCCUGGUGAGUUUCAGCCUCAGAAGAAAUCCUUUUCCUGUAAUUUGGCGGGAGAGUAUGCCUGCAACUGUACGUCAGUCCUCCAUCUUUAGGGAAAUCAGUAACCCUGUUUUUAAAGACGUGACCUUUUCCCUCUUCUGACAUGUAGUGGCAAAGACACAUUUCUGAGUGGCAGCCCUUUUAUUAGAAGAUUAGGUAGGGGCUGGCACUGUGACGUAACGGGUAAAGCUGUCCCCUGCAGUGCUAGCAUCUCAUAUGGAUGCCGGUUCUAAGUCCCAGCUGCCCCACUUCCAAUCCAGCUCUCUGCUGUGGCCUGGGGAAGCAGUAGAAGAUGGCCCAAGUCUUUGGGCCUCUGCACCCACGUGGGAGACUGGGCAGAAGCUCCUGGCUCCUGGCUCCUGGCUUCGGAUCAGCCCAGCUCUGGCCAUUGUGGCCAUUUGGAGAGUGACCCAGUGGAUGGGAGGCCUCUCUCUCUCUGCCUUUGCUUCUCUGUUCCUCCACCUUUCAAAUCAAUAAAUAAAUCUUUAAAAAGAGAGGAAAGAUCAGGACUAUCUACUUGUUCACAAGAUGUUUCAGCUGACAUCUCAUGACUUACUUCGGUAUCGUUUUUUGUUAUUUUACCUGAAGAUCUAGUGUUUAAUGAUAGCUGCAGUAGUAAUCCAAAGACAUGACUGAGGAUUCAGGAGAGCUCUUUCAGCUGUAGUAAUAGCAGCAGAGGGAAUAAAAGUCAUUUGAGUAGCUCACAGUUUUAUACCAAGCUCUAGACCUUGAAUUCUCUAUCCAUGUGUUAACUCUUUGUAGACAUUAUACCAGCCUUGUGGAAUAGGAACUGGUACUAUUCUCCAUUACAGAUGAAGGAACUCAGGGACAGAAAGACUGUACCUUUGCCACAGUCGACACAGCUAAAGCAGGAGUAGAGGACUAAGAACAGAAAUCUGGGUAGUCCUGCUCCAGUACCCGCCGCCCCCCCCCCCCCCCAGCUGAUGUGCUAACUGAAUUCCAGAGACUGUUGGCAUUCAACAGUUGGUUCAAGCCAGUAGCCUGGAAGUCAGUCUGGGUCUCCAUGUGGGUGGCAGGGGCCCGGUGACUUAGACCUUCAUCUGCUUCCUUCGAGGAUGCAUUCGAAGGAAGCUGGAUCUGGAGCGGAGCACUCUGAUGUGCGGUGCCAGCGUUAGAAGCUGUAGCUUGACUCCCUGUGCCACAAGGCCGGCCCUGGGAUGGUUUCUUUUGGUUGAGAUAAAAAGGUUUUGGGACCAGCACUGUGGUGUAGUGGGAGAGGCAAUGAGCAUCGCUUUGAGUCCUGGCUGCUUUGCUUCUAAUCCAGCUCUCUGCUAAUGGCUGAAGCUCCUGGCUCCUGGCCUUGCCCUGGCUGUUGUGGGCAUUUGGGGAGUAAACCAGCAGAUGGAAAACCUCUCUCUGUGUCUCUCCCUCUCUCUGUAACUCUGCCUUUCAAAUAAGUAAAAUAAAUCUUAAAAAAAAAAGAGAGAGAGAUAAAAAAGGUUUUAACUUUUUCCUAUGAGGUAGGUCAGUGUCAUCUCUCCCUUUAGGCAUUGUCAUAAAUAGCCCACAGACUUGCAAAUACUGCCUUCCUUCUUGGCCACUCACCUGGUAAGGUAUUCUUGGCCCUUGGGAUUCCUGCUGCCUUGCGUGAUGGCCGCUGUGCUGACCCAGCGUUGCCUCAGACUUCAGACUCCCUUCUGCUCCCCUGGGCUGCUUUGGCAGCGUGUGGUCCCUUGCUGGCAGAGUGCGAGCUGUGUGAGUUUCUCUUUUUGAGAUACUAUCAAGUGUUCUUUAUCUUGAAGGGGGCAUUUUCCAUAUUUCGGUGUAUUUGGAACGGAUGGGUCAUUGGUAACGUACUAAAUGGAAUCAGCCGUUGAGUGUUUCACUGUAAAGCCUUUUGUUUCAUUGUUUCAGUGUGAAGAAAGAUGCUUUUAAAGUUAAGCAUCUAAUUACCUUCAACAAGUAACUUUAUAGAAUUAAAAUCACCCUACUCUAGGCUUUUGUGCCCUCCUAAUUGUUUAAUUUAUGCCUGAAAGGGAAGAAUCGGGUUUGUAAUUUUUAUUGUCAUUAAGUGAAUUUUAAGAGCAUAAGAUGUUGUUGUAUUCAAGUGUAGGUACAAAAAAUAUAUUUUCUUGCCUGGUUCUUCAGGAUUCAUUUAUUGUGGUAUAAUUAAGGUGCUAAAAAUAAUUGCCUUUCUUUAAUGAAUCUUAGUGGAGAUGGUUGCUUGGAGGUUCUUGUCUUCAUUCAAGGUAGAAUUCAGGUGUGAGACAGAGAGGAGUGGUCAGUGAGGUAGCGAGGGCUGAUGGGGCAGGGCAUCCAUCAGGAUGGAUGGGCACCUCCCCGGUUGGAAUCCCAGAGGGUGAAGGCGUGCCCCCAGCCAUUCAGACUGGGGGUAGCACCUGACUGGUGGGCGUCUCGGCAAAGACCUGGGAGAGCUGGGAGCCAGCAGCAGCACACCUGAUGGCCAGGCCCGUGUCACAGGAAAGGGCUCAGAGUGCCACCUGUGUUCAGACUGGGGCUGGUAAGCCAGUGGCGUUCAGGUCUUCCUGCCUUCCCCGCUCCCCCCCGUCCAUUUUUGGACAAAGGGUUUUCUAGGUGUGAAGUAAGUAGAACCUUCCACCAAGGUUUUGAGCGGGGUAUUACCACUCUGGGUAGCCCAGAGGAUUCUUCUGUGGUGCCUUCCUUUGGGGGAAGGCUGGGAUCACCUAUAAAGUUAUUGGGGCGUAGUUAGGGCUUUGUAGUGGAAAGUACUGGGCCGCUUCCAAGGUGUGUUUCCCAGGCUGCUGCAUUCAUUUCCAAGUGCUUUGUUUUCCUUAGGCCUCUUUCACACACAGGCCAAUUUCUCUCUAUGUAACAUUAACAAUUGUUAGAAUUUUUAAGGAUUUUUUAAAUUUGAUUUGCAGGUUUUUAUUGUUUCCAUGACCAUAGUAAUGUUUUUUCUUGUUUGAAUGACUUUUGUAGAGUUUAUCCUCCUAAUAUUUUUUUUUCUUCUAAGUUAAUAAAGAGUAAAUUUGUGGUCGGCGCCGCGGCUCAACAGGCUAAUCCUCCGCCUAGCGGCGGUGGCACACCAGGUUCUAGUCCCAGUCGGGGCGCCGGAUUCUGUCCUGGUUGCCCCUCUUCCAGGCCAGCUCUCUGCUAUGGCCAGGGAGUACAGUGGAGGAUGGCCCAAGUGCUUGGGCCCUGUACCCCAUGGGAGACCAGGAGAAGCACCUGGCUCCUGGCUUCCGAUCAGCGUGGUGCGCUGGCUGCAGCGCGCCAGCCGUGGCGGUCAUUGGAGGGUGAACCAACGGCAAAGGAAGACCUUUCUCUCUCUCUCUCUCUCUCACUCUCACUGUCCACUCUGUCUGUCAAAAAAAAAAAAAAAAGUAAAUUUGAAUUUGAUAACACCUUGCAAGAACCAUCUGUAGAUGAACGACUUGUUAGUAUAAAAUUAAAAGCACAAAUAGGCCGGCGCCGUAGCUCAAUAGGCUAAUCCUCCACCUUGCGGCGCCGGCACACCGGGUUCUAGUCCCGGUCGGGGCGCCGGAUUCUGUCCCGGUUGCCCCUCUUCCAGGCCAGCUCUCUGCUAUGGCCAGGGAGUGCAGUGGAGGAUGGCCCAGGUGCUUGGGCCCUGCACCCCAUGGGAGACCAGGAAAAGCACUUGGAUCCUGGCUCCUGCCAUCGGAUCAGCACGGUGCGCCGGCUGCAGCGGCGGCCAUUGGAGGGUGAACAACGGCAAAGGAAGACCUUUCUCUCUCUGUCUCUCUCACUGUCCACUCUGCCUGUCAAAAAUAAAAAAAAAAUAAAAAAAAAAUUAAAAGCACAAAUAAAAGUAUUGGUAAGAAU